UACAGAGGGUGCGAACGUUGCUCGGAAUUACUGGGCGUAAAGCGCGUGUAGGCUGAUACGUAAGUCAGAUGUGAAAUCCCCGGGCUCAACCUGGGAACUGCAUUUGAAACUGCGUGUCUAGAGUGAUGGAGAGGGAAGUGGAAUUCCAGGUGUAGAGGUGAAAUUCAUAGAUAUCUGGAGGAACAUCAGUGGCGAAGGCGACUUCCUGGACAUUUACUGACGCUGAGACGCGAAAGCAUGGGGAGCGAACAGG
rnacentral:rRNA from 1 species